rnacentral:lncRNA from 1 species
AUGAGCUGGGAACGUGAGGCAGACAAGACCAAUGGACUGAACGACUUUGUUGGGGGGAGUAGUGAACAAAGGAAGCUCAAACACUCUGCCUUGGCUCUGUUCAGCUCCCUCAGUGGCUCUCGCCUCAGAGAAGAAUCUCUCCUUUAUGGGAGCUUCACCUUUCUCCCCUUCAACACCACCUCCCUCCCCUCCAACUCCACCCUGGCCCCCCCGUUGGCCCCGGUGCUAGCCUUCCUGCGCUCUUGGGGCUGUGUCCACUUCCUGGUGCUGCUCAACCUUGGGCCUGAGGCCCAAGCCCUGGACCCAGCAUGGGCUCCCAGCCUUCCCACUUCUGGGGUGUUUGUGACCAGCACAGGGAUGGACCGCCUGGGCGGCACCUCCCUGGAAACACUGAGGCUCCAGCCAGAGGAGGCCAUAGUCAUCAAACUGUUUGAGUCUGGCAGCUACUCCUCCUAGGGCCUGGGGAAUUAGGCAGAGUGAGAGGGGCUAGGACUGGAUGCAGGGGAGGAUAACUAGGCAGAAAUAGUAACUAUUUAGCCAUCUAUUCCUUUUUUUAUUUUCUUUUGAGGCUGUAUCAAAAUGUCAAAACGUUCUUAAAAUAAUAAAUCAUUGUUUAUCAUUUGUUCUGAUGACAUGGUCAACUUCAGAGGGUGCCAAAUAUUUGGACUACAAUGCAAACACUGCCCGAAGAAUUUAAAGUCUAUGGCUGAGAUUAGUCAGCCCUAGUUGAUAUUUUGUCCACCAAUUUGUAUUUUGACCAAUAACAGCAGAUCUUUUGCAGAGCUGACCUGAUUGGUCAAAAGACCAAUUAGUGACAAAAGAUCAGAAUUGGGCUGCCUGUGUAUGAACAUGGGCAGUUUACUGUAAAUUAUCAUGAGUAACAAACACUUGACUCAACAGUUGAUUUCAACAUCUUUCAGUUGAGAAACAACAAACAUUGUAUGAUGUAUCUUGAGGUAUGCAGCAGGGUAAUGUGGUGAAACACGCUGUAAAUCCCUGAAUCAAC